AGCAGGCGCGCAAUUACCCACUCCCGGCACGGGGAGGUAGUGACGAGAAAUAUCGAUGGGGGUCUCUAGAUGAGUGCCCGGCAUCGGAAUGAGUAGAGCUUAAAUCCUUGUGCGAGGAUCAAUUGGAGGGCAAGUUCUGGUGCCAGCAGCCGCGGUAAUACCAGCUCCAAUAGCGUAUAUCAAAAUUGUUGCGGUCAAAAAGCUCGUAGUUGGAUCUGUGACCGGAGGCCGUUGGUCUGCUCUUGACAGGGUGUGGCGGACGGUUCUCCUCAUCUCGUGUCGGUUUGACUCCGUCGGUGUUCUUGGUUGAGCGCCGGUCGGGGGCCGGACGGUUACCAUGUGUAAAUGAGAGUGCUCAAGACAGGAAUUGUUGGUCCUGUAUUUUGUCAUGGAAUAAGCGAAAAAGGCCUGGAGUCCGUUUUUUCGUUGGUUCAUGGAGCUCUAGGCAAUGAUUAAAAGGGACGGACGGAGGCAUUCGUACUACGGGGUUAGAGGUGAAAUUCUUGGAUCCCCGUAAGACGGACAGAGGCGAAAGCAUUUGCCUAGAAUGUUUUCAUUAAUCAAGAACGAAAGUCGGAGGUUCAAAGACGAUUAGAUACCGUCGUAGUUCCGACCAUAAACGAUGUCGACUAGCCAUCUGCCGACGUAGUUUCCAGUGACUCGGUGGGCUGCUCUCGGGAAACCAAAGUGUUUGGAUUCCGGGGGAAGUAUGGUUGCAAAGCUGAAACUUAAAGGAAUUGACGGAAGGGCACCACCAGGAGUGGAGCCUGCGGCUUAAUUUGACUCAACACGGGGAAUCUCACCCGGCCCGGACACCGUAAGGAUUGACAGAUUGAGAGCUCUUUCUUGAUUCGGUGGUUGGUGGUGCAUGGCCGUUCUUAGUUGGUGGAGCGAUUUGUCUGGUCAAUUCCGAUAACGAACGAGACUCUGGCCUGCUAAUUAGGCGGCGGCAGGCUGAAUGCCGUCGACGCAAUGAGCUUCUUAGAGGGACAAGUGUAUGAGACAAAGACACGCGAGAUUGAGCAAUAACAGGUCUGUGAUGCCCUUAGAUGUCUGGGGCCGCACGCGCGCUACACUGAAGGAGUCAGCGAGUGUAAUUCGCGCCCCGAAAGGGUGUGGGGAAUCCGUUGAACAUCCUUCGUGCUUGGGAUUGGGGCUUGUAAUUGUUGCCCAUGAACGAGGAAUUCCUAGUAAGCACGAGUCAUCAGGUCGUGUUGAUUGAGUCCCUGCCCUUUGUACACACCGCCCGUCGAUGACACCGACUAACAGAGUGAUGAAUAGGGCGGACUCGGGCCCCUGUUGCCGCCUCCCAUCACUGGGACGGUGGUGGACGUGGGUGACCUCGGGAAAGGCUUGUGAUUCAAGAUUGUUUC
rnacentral:rRNA from 1 species